GACUAAAGCAACAGUAACAGAAGCAGGAACCUGUGGGCACUUAAUCUCUUCUUUCUGUCUUCUGUUCUGGGAAAGAAAAAGGAAUGGGAAAAGGUGACCUGCUCAAACGACGGCUUUGGGAACAGACUGACUGGAAGCAGCUUCAUUCCUGAGCAGUAAAGAUAUACAUGCAACCAAGAGAAGCAACUGCUUCCUAGAGUUUGCUGGACACUGCAGUGACCACACACACACGCGCUGUCUUAGAUGUAUCUGUCGAUCUCAAUCCUGAAGAAUAGCUGUCAUAUCUGAAUUGCCUUCACCAACAAGAACUCUGUGCCCCAUGUUUCAUCUUUCACUCCCACUCACAGUGGCUCAAAGGAGAAAAAAACGACUCAUGGACGUGUUGAUAAAGCAAAAUUUCCUUUAGAGACAUCUCUGAUCAAGACUCACAAGCAACAACUUCACAAGUCACUUGAGUGUGCUGAAAAUUUAACGGGGCCUGUUUGAUUCAAUGGACUCCUUUCAUUUAAUUAGCUGAAUUGAUGUCUCGCCAACACCAGUGGCAACACUUUCCUGACAUUGGUGUGGAAAUCAUGUCUUCCCAGUGGAUAAAACAAUCAUAGUGAUCUCCCAAGCAAUAUCCUGCUGUCAAAAACAUCAAAGCCAUGGAAAGCCCCGACAUUCAAAAGUACAUUUCCCUCAAGAGGCCAAAUUUCUCAGAGUUUAAGCUAAAGAAAACACAGAUGAUGAUUUUGCCGUCACCAAAUGGAAAACUAGCCAAACAAAUUUUGGGAAUCCAUUUAUUUUGAAACAAUCAAAAUCUGAAAAAGAAA